rnacentral:lncRNA from 1 species
ACAGAGCGUCCAACAUGCUGGAUGAAGGAAGAGAAAGCAGGCGGAGGGAGAGACCCUUCUUCCUAACUUCUUCCAGGUUGGGCUGUCAAGUUUGGAAGUCUGUGUGAAUUCUGGAAGGAUGAAUUAGAAGGGACCACGUUGUGACUGUGCUCCACGGGAUGUGGAAAACAUCUUGGUUACAUAUCCGUGGGACCUUAGGAAGAUCCAAUGCUUGGCCUCAUUAAGCCUGGAAAUCCUUAGGAAGAAAACAACACAAGUGAUGGAGUUCGGUGGUUGUCAUGGUGAGAAGGGAACUCAUGGACGGAUGUGCACGGGCGGGGGGG